AAAAUUAUAAAGAAAUUCAAUGAGUUAGAAAAAAAUUAAAGAACCAAAACCCUUGAUAAUCAGCACCGCAUUCUCCAUCUUCCCACGCUCUCCAUCUUCCUUCCUUCUCACACCACGACUUCCACAGUUAAGAUCGAGAUCUAAAUCGAAUUCAGUCCAAUCCAAUAUGACCUCAAACCGAGGAAAAUUCCAAAAUUACAGAGUUCCCUUCAAUCCAAAUCCAGAGUUUUUCAUAUUUUCAAUUCUUCUCCGGCGAACGUUUCCGGGCAGCGACGUAUUAUCUGGCGAAGAUAUUCCCCGGCUGCGUACGUGUGGUUCAAUUAUCAAUUAUGAUUAAACUGUGUUGAUUGUUGAUUGUAUUAUUGGUCGAAGCUGUUGUUAACCAGAGUGCGAAAUCAGUUGAGAAACGCUAGAUAUUUGCCGGUUGCAGGUUGUUUUUCUUUCAUCAUCAACUUUAUUUUGUUCAAAUUUUGUUUAUGUAUUUUUUUUUUCUGGUGUAUAAGGAGCCAUGAAGAACAAUGGCGUAGCCAAUAAUCGUUAAAGGUACCACCUCCCGAGACUUUAACGAACUAAGCUAACCGGCCUCUAGAAAUUAUUUCUGUUAGUAAUUGUAUUGAAUUGGUGUUAAAGUUAUACCUUCAGCUAAUUGGAAAAAGAUGAAAAGAUAAGGGUAGUAUGUAAAAGUAAUAGAAAGCUGAUUUCCGUUUUUUUCUUGCAUUUACUGAGGAAUGUUGGAUCUCGUUUAAUCUGUUUUAUAAGCUGAAUCAGUUGUGUUUGUUAGAGUAUAAUGCUUUUGUGGUACUUUUCUCACAUGUCUUUAAUGUCAUGACUCAUGAUUAACAUGAUGCUAGUCUAAAAGGUAUGCAGAUUGGGUUGAUGAAUUGAAGUACAUAUAAUGUGGGUUGUUUUGAUCUGAUUAUAUGUUAUUUGUUUUCGUUGGCUUUGUAGGCAUGGAUUACACUGAUCCAAAGCGGAAGGGUAAUGUCGUGGGUAAAAUAGUCGUAGCUGCUGGGUUAAUUGCAUUUUGCCUUAUUAUGAUCAAUCAGUCUCAACAUCCCGAGCCAAUUUCAUCUCAAAUACUGGACAGAGCAAAUUUGGCUCAAAGAAAUUCAGAAAUACCUGGCACUGCUUGCCCCAGUGAAGUUAUACAUGAAGUGAACCAGGAAGACUUCAGUUUGUAUAUGCUGUAUAUGCUGAUCUGGAGAUGCUAAUGGUUUAUCCUUAUCGUGGCAGGCCAUCGUCUAGGUGCUAUUAUUUUUUCCUUUGGGCCUUCUCUAUCAAAAUUAGAGAUAAUAUCAAUUGGAUUCAACAAAAUUAUAUAGAAUAUUUGAAGAUGUCGUAUUUUUCUUUGUUCAUUUAUGUCUAUAUGGGUUGUUACUAAUUAUGUUAACUUUCUUAUUUUAUAGUACAUUCAUGAUUGCAAUGUUUCGAAUUAUGAUCAAGAGCAAAUUGAUGAAGUGGACGUGUCAUGUUCUUCUCGUGUGAA